AUACGGAGGGUGCGAGCGUUAAUCGGAAUUACUGGGCGUAAAGGGUGCGUAGGCGGCUUGAUAAGUCGGAUGUGAAAGCCCCGGGCUUAACCUGGGAAUUGCAUUCGAUACUGUCAGGCUAGAGUAUGUCAGAGGUUGGCGGAAUUCCUGGUGUAGCGGUGAAAUGCGUAGAUAUCAGGAGGAACACCAGUGGCGAAGGCGGCUAACUGGGGCAAUUCUGACGCUGAGGCACGAAAGCGUGGGGAGCAAACAGGAUUAGAAACCCCAGUAGUCC
rnacentral:rRNA from 1 species